rnacentral:rRNA from 1 species
UACGGAGGGAGCUAGCGUUGUUCGGAAUUACUGGGCGUAAAGCGCACGUAGGCGGCUUUGUAAGUUAGAGCUGAAAGCCCGGGGCUCAACUCCGGAACUGCCUUUAAGACUGCAUCGCUUGAAUCCAGGAGAGGUGAGUGGAAUUCCGAGUGUAGAGGUGAAAUUCGUAGAUAUUCGGAAGAACGCCAGUGGCGAAGGCGGCUCACUGGACUGGUAUUGACGCUGAGGUGCGAAAGCGUGGGGAGCAAACAGG